CACGAAAGUUCUUCUGUUUUAAAAAAACACUCAAGGAAAUUGAAUUUGUAGUGAAGAUGCUACAUUAAAAUGGUUAGACGAGAAGUCCCCAUGGAGCUUUACUGAAAGCUUAAAAGAAAUUUUUUUAUUUAUUUAUAGGCUAGACAGUUUUGUUGGGGUGAUAGUUUUUUAAAAAGUAACGAAAACGAACUAUGACGCAUGUUUCACUCUGAAAACUUGAAGAGACAUUUGGGGUGUGUUUUAUGAUCUAUUGUUUUGAAUGAAAAAGAUAAUGAAAGCA
rnacentral:rRNA from 1 species